CGGCAGCCCCGGCCGCCGUCCGACGCGCCGUGUCGCCGCUGCCGGCCCUGCCGCCUGGUGUGUGGCGGCCCCUCUCGCCGGGAGCAGGCCGAGGCCGGCUGCCCACGCUGCGCCGGGCCGGGGCGGGGCGGGGCGGUUUUGCCAUCGGGCGUCGUUCGGGGCGGCCGGCGGGAGCGCCCCGUGAGGGAGCGCCCUGUGAGGGAGCGGCGGAGCGUCAUGGCGGGCCGUGGCUCUGCGUCCUCGGAGCACCUGGAGCGGCUGCACGACAUCUUCCGAGGGCUGCACGGAGACCUACAGGGCGUCCCCGAGCGGCUGCGGGGCAGCGCGGCCGAGGAGAAGAAAAAACUAGUUCGAGAAUUUGAUGAGAAACAGCGCGAAGCAAAUGAAACGCUGCGGGAAAUGGAGGAAGAACUGAAGUAUGCUCCUCUGCCUUUCCGCAACCAAAUGAUGAGCAAAAUCCGGGCAUACAGAAGAGACCUCUCCAUGUUCCAGAGAGAGAUGAGAAGCACAGAUUUGGGAUUGGGCUCUGGGAGUCAAGGCAAUAUAAAAUACGGAAUCUUCUCCACAGAAAAUGAAGAGAGUACUCAUCUGCAGUCACAGAGGGUGCUGCUUCUCCAGGGAACAGACAGCCUGAACCGAGCCAGUCAGAGCAUUGAGCACUCGCACCGAAUUGCUGCUGAAACGGAUCAGAUUGGCACCAAUAUAAUUGAAGAACUUGGGGAGCAGCGGGAGCAACUGGAACGCACCAAGAGCAGAUUGGUGAAUACAAGUGAAAACUUGAGCAAGAGUCGCAAGAUUCUGCGUUCUAUGUCCAGGAGAGUAACCACUAAUAAGUUGUUGCUGUCAAUUAUCAUCAUCCUGGAACUAGCCAUCCUAGGAGGUGUGGUCUACUACAAGUUCUUUCGCAGCAGAUGAACCUUCAUGAGCAGGAUGAACUUUUCCACUGUUGAGGAACCGAUGGGAUGUCUGUUCUCUUUGAGCACCUAAGGAUUGAACUGUCUUAUGAGGCAGACAGCAUGUUGGCUGAAACUGUACUGACACUAGAAAGACAGAGAAUGGGAGUAAAAGGAAAAGGCAGAGACAGACUUGAACUACUGGUAAGAUUAAUAAGAAGAGAUACUUCACUUGAGAGUCUGGUGUCCUGGUUUAAUCAGUCCUUGCUUUUGUUGUACCCUUUUACCUGAGUUGAAUGUUAACGAAUGAAGUUUUUACUCUUCUGCAUUUUCCAGUUUGUUGAGGAGGAAUAAACAGCCCAACUCCACAAGCAAUAGGUAAUUGGCAUCAGUGACUGUAAGGGGGAAUGAUAAGAAACUAGAUAUUCGGAUGUAGAUCACUUAGUGCAUUUAAUGAUAAUGCUAAGUAACUUAACCCAGUACAUCAUACUUAAGUGGAAGAAUAAAAACCAAGGUGUCUCUGUCCUUUUAGGAGAAUCACAAAAAAGUCAUGCAGACUUUGUUGCAAGAACAACAUUAAAGAUGGACAAAUUCAAAGUGGGAAAAAAAAAUUACAAGAAGUUGGGCCUCCACAUUGGGCUACAUCGUACUGAUUUUUAAUGUAGAACUAAAGAGAGCAGGUUUAGGACAGCAAAUGAAGGAUGAUGAGGUCAGUUUUUCAGCUUUGGUAAUUAAGUAGUCGUGGUAUGCAAUUAUAAAAAUCCUUCAGUUGGUAAUACCUACUAAUUUUGCUAGUACUUUAAAUUAACUCAAGUUUCCCUCCUUCCUCUCCCAGCUCUGAAAAUGGCUACAGCUAACACAGCUGUCAAGCAUUAAGGCAGCUUUGUUUCCCUCUUCUCAGUUACAACAUUUGGAUUUGUUUAAAGGCUAACACAUCCGUAGCUCUAAUAAAUGUUACUCUGGGGAAAUGACUUAAAACUUUUCUGCAGUCAUGAAUUCAGAGUAAGGAUAAAUGAAUUGGAGACCACCAGGAAAAAUAAUUCAGGUCUCCCCAUACCAUAAGCUGACCAUAGUGUUAUAAUAUUGUCAGAUACUCUCUAGUGUCAAUGAUUUAGCAGAUUUAAUACUGCCAUUUUUAAUUACACCCCUUCUUUAUUUAAAGAGAAUGGAAUGUAGCAACUUCCUUUGGUAGGCUCUGGUUUUACUUUGUUGCAAUAGAAAACAAGUUGCGAAUAGUACAGGCAAACAGGCAUCAGAAAAAGGUACAGGCAUUUUCAGGGUAAGUUAUUAAUAACAGUUUAUGAGUUUAAUUUGAAUGGCUGUGAGAGCCCUGACACUAAUGCUCAGUUUGAGGAAUGCCAGUUAAAGGCUUAUGUUCAUAAAGAGUUUCUCUUAAAAUUAAUUUUGCUGUUUUAAAGUUUUUUUUAAAAACUCUGAAGUGCCACCUUGCCUUGCAGGAUACCAGGCAGUGCUCCUGCGAAGCUGCCUAGACAAACCAGUAGCAGCUGGCAGCCUGUGAAUGGCCUGUGCAAGCAGCACCGGGGGUUUGUUCUACAGCAACCUGGCCAAAUACUUUUAUUUCAUAGCCAGAUGCUCUACUUUUAUACUUCAUGGUGUCUGCUACAUGGAGACACAAUCCAGUAGAGCAUUGACCAAGCUUAUUAGCCCUGGAUACAUAAGGGCUUCUAAAAAAAGAUGAGAACACCUAAACUGAGGGACUUGAAACAGCCCUGGGGAGUUCUUGGCAGUUGCUGCCACAUCAGUUUACCCUGUAAUGUUGUGCCAGGACAGCUGUUUGUGGGGUCACACAGUGAAUAAGGGCUAGGACAUGAUGAUGUGUGUCAAAAACUAACCAGAGUGCUCCUGAGUCAGUUCUCGUGCAAGCCCACAGAAAGUUACAGCAGCUAAACGGAGUUGCUGGUGUGGGGUCAAGAACAGUCUAAGCAGGUUGUGCUACCAAGAGAAACAUAUGUUGUGCUACUGCCUCCAUCUCAUAGUCUUGUAAUAGGGAAUGAGGAACAAGGAGCCUGGAGAUGCUGGAAGAACAGAACCAGUUAGUAGAAAUGGGCAAUGAAUCAGAUAGGACGCAUGACUACAUUUUAUUUUGCUCUCUUCUUGUAUCCUCAAAGGAGCUGUUGUUUCUCUGUGCUUCUACAAAACAAUCUAGACAGGGAGCCAAGAGCUAACUAGUCUUCCUGAGACUAUUUUGAUGAUUAAGUCUUGUAAGUCAGAGAGAGUGCAUGGUGGGGAGGGGUUGCUCAAAAACCCCUUCACAGCAUGAAUGAAAGCAAAGAAGGAGAUAUGCAGGGCUCACUGCAAAAUAUCUCUUACCCUCUUGCACUGCUAUCCUCUGUGCCCUUUGACACGAUCAAAACCUCCUUGAGAAGCAAAAAGUGCAACCGGUUAGUUUGUUGUUGUGAGGUGUUACACUUGGCAGUAGGACUAGAGUAGCCUUCAGUUUUAGGAUUCAAAAAGAAUCCUUGCAAAGCACUCAGGAAAAAGAGCGACAGUAAAUAUUUUUGUCCCCAUUGUCAACACAGAUGCUCUAGUGGAUGAGUGAGCCAUGUGCGCCUGUUCACACGUAAAGGUUCCCUCCAGCAAGUCAGAUAUGUAGCCAGGCAAGCUAUUGUUGAAGGCACAUUCUACUAUUGCUGUUUAAAAAUUUAUACUGUGGUAGAAGCCGCCUUGCACCAGCAGAGCAGACGUUGGCUUCCUCCCUCUAAGCAGGAGUACAAUAGGGUAAGAAAAACCUCUAAAUGAGUGCACACCUGUUUGCAAAGUGUCAGAUGUUUCUGCGUAGGCUUCCUGACAGCUAGAAUUCAGGUGGGCUUGUACUGAGAUCUCAUAACCAGCACCAUAGCUGACUAACUCACCCCUAAGUAUAGACUACUUGUACUCUUCACUACUGCUGCUGGCCAGAGGCCUGCUCCCCCACUGACCGCAGAAAGCUCCCAGUAUUCUUUUAGUAGCUCUUAAAAAAAAAUUGCUUUUCUGUGCUGCUCAAGAACUGGAGCCCUGCAGACCAGAAAUCAACUAUGUAUAUACAGGAAGCAGAUUAAAUAAUUUUGUCAUACUGACAAAAAAGGAAAGCAACAUAUCUUAUUCUGCCUCUCUCCUCCUUCCUCAGCUAUCAAAAAACUUGACUUUGUUCUGUUCUCACCAAGACAAACUGUUCACCUUGGGUGAGCUCCAAAAGUCACAAAAUUUUCUUUCGCUCUUCCUGUCUCUUCUGCAGAAGUGGGUGGAGUUGCCAAAAAGACAAAAAAAUCACCCCCUUUAACUUAGAGGCAAGAAACUAGAAAUACAGUAGCCUUUUAUAUUAACUGUCUUGUGCCCUGGGGAUAUUUGAAAGAAGCCCCAUUAAUUUUGCAUUAUUUUGGGAAUUCUAGCAUGUUUGUAGAGACCAUACUAGAAUUAUUAGAAAGAAGAAAGUACAUAAAAGCACAAAAUUGACUGCAGGAUGGAAUUAAUGCAAAAGAAUUUGCAGGAGAAAAGAGCUGCUUUACCAGAUGACAGUAAUCUCACUAUGCCAAUAGGUAAGAGCGCAAUGGUAUCUUCAGUAGCCAUAAAGAUGUUAAUAUGUGCUUGGUCUUACUUGGAAGAUACAUACUUCCCCCAACACAACACCCCCAAAAUUUAUCAGGGUGGGGGAUCCUAACAGAAAUGACUAGCAGUGCAAAGUGCCAGAAUAAAAUCGAGUCAGGUUUCCUGCAGCUCUAGCAUCCAUUCUCAACCUGUGGUGGCUGAUCCCACUCUCCAGCCCAAGCUUCAGCAGAAGCAGAUUGUCAUACCUAUGUUCCCACUGCAAAUGGCCCAGUUACUAACGCUGCACAGGCUGUCACUGUUGAGCCUCCAGGGGAUGCUACAGGUACCUGUAUAGGGAGAUACAGGCCGCAGCUAAACCAAGAAGGAUAUGCAGGCCUCGGGUCAACCUCCUGGUUGGCAUCCUGACAGGAGCAAAAAGUGGUCAUGCACAUUCCACGUACCCAGGGGUAAACAGCUCUUUGAUAAUUUGACCUCUUUUCAAGACAAAGACUAUCUCUUCAAAAUCACCCUGAAAGUGGGUACAGGUACUCUUGAUUUGUAAUAUUUACCAGUGGAGCCAACACCAGAGCAGCCAGUUAGGAGAGAUCAGGCAGGAACAGCCCAUCAGGCCCCAAGGUUGUCAAAAGAAGAGCUAAACCAAGCAGAAGUGCGCACGGUGUGCGGGAACCAGCUGUCACUGGAGGUGAGCUGGGCACAGCUUGCACAGGCUCAGCUCAGGGAGGUUCCCUCCUUUGCACACUUGGUGGAAUUGCUGCCAUUGCACAGCCUCCGCACCAGCUCUGCUCCUUACGCAGGAACGGCAGCAUGGUCGGCUGCUACACAGAGCUUGUGUGAACGCUUGCUUUCUGUACAAUGCAUGAGGGUGCUAAUACAAUUAAAAGCUUCUUCUCAUUCUUGUUUCUAAA